UGCCGCGGCCUCCUUAUCCUCUUCCCCCACCGGAUAUCGAAGCCAGGAGAGGAUUCCACCCACCGGAUAUUGAGCAGAGGGCACGGGAAAAAAGCUUUCAAGGACAAAUGGGGUACAAACGCUUCCCAUCGGAUUUGGAUGUUUCUUUGCUCGUUGCUCGGUAGGGUUUCCUUUCUGAACGGAGUGCUCUCGAACUCCGUCAGAUCGACGAGGAAUUCGACAUUUUGGAAGGUGUGGUGAUCUUCCACUUACUGUUGCAAUUGGUUUACAUUCCAUGGAUCUGAUAGAUGGUGUUAAUCAAGUGCAGGGUGACAUCACUAAUGUUCGAACCGCAGAAGUGGUUGGAGGCACACUUACACCUUCAAUUCUGGUGCAUGAACUUUCAAAUUUCGUGAGUGGUUAAAAGUAAAUUCAAUGGUUGCAAGAGAGAGCAUGACAACAUUGCCAAAUGUUCUUGGCCACAGCUGAACCAUUUAGUGUCGAAAUGCUUCGAUCUUUUUGAUCUUAAGAUUAUCGUUUUGGUUCAUCUCUAACAGUUGAAAUGCUUCCA